AGUUUGAUCCUGGCUCAGGAUGAACGCUAGCGAUAGGCCUACACAUGCAAGUCGAGGGGCAGCAUAUCAAAGCAGCUAUGCUGAGAUGAUGGCGACCGGCGGAUGGGUGAGUAACACGUAUGCAACCUACCUUUAACACGGGCAUAACUCGAAGAAAUUCGUGCUAAUUCCCGAUAAUACAGGGGCGCCGCAUGGCGAUAUUUGUUAAAGAUUAAUCGGUUAAAGAUGGGCAUGCGUUCCAUUAGCUAGUUGGUGAGGUAACUGCUCACCAAGGCAACGAUGGAUAGGGGGACUGAGAGGUUUAUCCCCCACACUGGUACUGAGACACGGACCAGACUCCUACGGGAGGCAGCAGUGAGGAAUAUUGGUCAAUGAGCGAAAGCUUGAACCAGCCAAGUCGCGUGAAGGAUGAAUGUUCUAAGAAUUGUAAACUUCUUUUAUAUAGGAAUAAAGUGAGCCACGUGUGGUAUUUUUGCAUGUACUAUAUGAAUAAG
rnacentral:rRNA from 1 species